rnacentral:rRNA from 1 species
ACGGGGGGAGCAAGCGUUGUUCGGAUUUAUUGGGCGUAAAGGGCGCGUAGGCGGGUCUUCAAGUCAAAUGUGAAAACCGACGGCUUAACCAUGGGCCUGCAUUUGAUACUGUCGAGCUUGAGUACGGGAGAGGAAAGUGGAAUUCCUGGUGUAGCGGUGAAAUGCGUAGAUAUCAGGAGGAACACCGGUGGCGAAGGCGACUUCCUGGCCUGAUAUUGACGCUGAGACGCGUAAGCGUGUGGAGCAAACAG